rnacentral:lncRNA from 1 species
AAGUGAUGGAUGAAAUGUAUUAGGUUGGAGCUGACCUCAUUAUAGCAACCUCAAAACAAGCAGAACAUUUGUCACACAGCUUCUCAGAGGUUAUGUUUUUGUGAUUCAAUACUGUGCAAGAGAUCGCUACGGCUUCGGGUGUUGGACGCAGCCCACAGAGGACCAUUCCCUUCUACCACACUUCAGAAUUAUUGCACAAGAAAUGUUAUUGUGGUUCUUACUUCUGAGCACCCUUUCUGAACACAAUCUCUCUUCGUAUUUACUUGAGGUAUAAAAGAACAACUUCUGCCAGAAGUACUGAAAGCGCUUAAAAACAAAGAAGAUACAGAGUUAACGUUCACUUUACUUAGACAAAAGAUUGCUGCCUCCCAGGAUAACAUACUGCAGCUGCACGGUGCGUGGUGCCAGAGCCGUUCAGUAGGUGGGCUUCUGAGGAUCCAUGUAGGCAGGGUUGUAUGGGGGCUGGCUGAUGGGGUACGGUGCUCCAGCACCAGCUGCCACUGUCUCAUGGUAGGCCGGGGGUCCCGGUGGCUGCAUGGGAUAGGGGGGAGGAUACUGCGCAGGGUAGGGCGCGACUGGCAUCCCCGGCUGCGGCUGGAUGGCCACGGGCUGGUACCCCUGGUAGGGAGCUGCGGGGUAGCUGGGUGGCACUCCCUGCUGCUGUGGGUACGGCGCGUGAACCACCGUCGUGGCAGUCGUGGUGGUCACAACAGGUUGUGGUCUUCGACAUGCUUUGUACAGACAGCAACACGAGCAAGUGAGGCACAGAAUUAUAGUAAUGACAACCACUGCAAAAACGAUCACUCCAAUCGCAACAAGAGUUCCAAAACCCAUGCUCAUCGCCGCACGCUCGCCCCACGCCGGCCGCGUCACGCCUCCUGCCCGCCCCUCGCAGGGCGGGACCGUCUCGGCAACCAGCGCGGCUGCUUCGCCCCUCGCUGAAGGGGGUUGUCGUGUGACGCCAGCUGCCGAAGGUUAAUAGGGAGAGGGAGAGGUUAAUGACGUUUUGAGGGUUUGGGUUAGAUGACGGCAGUCCAACCAUCAGACGUCUUGGCCACGGUCUGGGGAAGGUGCCGCCAAGCCCAGGAGGGAAGGCAGCCCCGUGGUCCCAGCCCCACACGCUGCCUCGCUUGGGAAAGGCAGAGAAGGGCGAAACCGAGAAAGGCGUGUGGGAUCUCCCAGCUUCCCAGUUGUGAUGGCCUCUGGGGCCCGGAGGCAGCACGUGGGGAUGCGCGCGCGGCUGCUCCCGCGGCGUCAUUGGGGCCGGCUGUGGGGAAUGGCGUUCUGGCGUUGUAUCCAGGAGUGGCUGUGCAGGUGGGCAGGACGUGGCUGCCCUGGGUCGGCGCUGCCUCCGUGUGCCGUGGAGUCGCUUGAGGCCAUGGAUGAUGUCUGGCCGGCAGAAGGCAGGGUACUGCUCUCGGCACUUGCCGAGGCAGCAUAGCUGGUGGGGCUUGCUUGGGUGCGGUAGGAUGCUGUAGUUCCUGCAUACUGAGCUGUGCACCGGUUGUGGAACCUUUAUGGGAAGCUGCGGAAGGAGAAAUUUGGGGAUGGAACCCGGAUUGCUGAUGGCCUUUAUUCAUCUGAUAGCAGGCCUGAUGUCUAGCCCUGCUCCAGGAGGGCUGCCAGGUCUUGACAAGACUUCUGAAAUGCGUGAAAGUGCACUGGGAGUGUUAGUAGAACACACUGGAUCCUGGAAGAGUCCGGCGGGCUAUUUCUCUAGGUGGUUGGACCGCAUAAGUAAAGGGUGGCCGUCCCUUUUAGGGGCAGUGGCAGCACUGGUAUUGCUCGCACAGGAGGCACGACGCCUGACUUUGGGACAGAGAUGAGUGGUUGACACACUUGAUGGGCUGCGUCACCCCCUGCCUGGCAGCAUCUCCAGAGCAGCAGCAGCCCUCAGACCUGAGGCACUGCCCGAAUGCAGAAGGAAAGCCCGGGUCCUGGCCCACCCCACAGCCGGCAGCAGCCGUGGGGCUGCCUGCACGUCCCAAACACAGCGACGUCCCCAAGAUGUCAGAAACACCCCCAGAAUGGGGCUGCAGCUGCCAGCCUAGCCUCUUGCCACGCUGCGCGUUGGAAAUGUUGCGCCCCACGGGAGUCGGGGCCAGAACCCAGCUCAGCGUGAACCGGGCUGCGGGGAGGAAGGAAUGGGUUGGGUGCUGGGGGGAAGGGAUCCCCGUGGUUCCAGCCCCUAAAGCUGCCCACCUCGGGAAAGGCAGAGAAGAAUGAAAGCGACAGUGGC